AACCCACUAGGGUUUUCGCCUGAUCUUUCGAUGAGAGGCGCUGGAUAACUCGAUUAGUGAAUGAAGAUGACGUUCACGGCCCGACUACAGCCCUCAAGACUGCGCCUUAGCAACCGAUACACCGCCUCCAAUGGCUGUCACGAUCUUGUGGAGCGCAACACCCGGCCACUAGGGCACUCGUCCUGCAAGCAAUCGAAGGACCAGC
rnacentral:lncRNA from 1 species